GGCAGGAGGAGGCGGUGGUUGAGGGCAGAGACUAGCGCCCAUUAAUUUAACGGGCUGAAAAAUACUAGUCUAUUAUAUUAAUUCUCCCGGGUGUGCCUUGGAAUGUGCAUCCCAGAGCCCAGCUGAUUGGAUGGGCGGCGGAUGCUCCUGAUUGGCUGAGGCGCACCAAGGAGCAUUGGUUGCCACCACCGCCGGGGCCCGGCCACGGAAACCAGAGGCAAGAGGUCGUGCUUUACCGGCAUUCCCAUUGUAAGGCUUUCCCAUGCAACGGGAGACUGAAAAACAAAACUAACUUCACAAUGGGAGGUCUUGAUAAAAUCAUUUAUCAAGGGGACCAGAAUAUCCUGACACUGGACAUAGGCCUGCUUUGUUUUUCCAGCUCUGCAGGAAGCAAUCAGCAAAAGGACGGAGAACAACGCAAGGAUGCUGAACACCCCUGAUUGUAAGGGAACGGCCCGUAUUCUUCAUAAGGAUGACAGCUGCACGUAAGAGAACAGACCUUUCCUUUCAGAACAUCCCAAUCCAACAGCAAUCAAGAGAGCAGAUGCUGUAACUCCAGCAUGUACCUUAUUUUGCAAAUUCGGGCUUGAAAACCCACAUGACACUAAGAGGAAGAUUAAAGUCCUGGCACCUUAAAUGCCUGUUCACGUACAGGAGUGGGAAAAAUACAUCUAGUCCAGCAUUUAAGGACAGAGGCUUCAGAGUUAGUAUGAGAAACUUUUAGCUGCAAAGACAAAGCCCUGGAAAUAAUAAAUAUAACCACACCCAGUUUCCUUAUUUAGAAGAGAGGGCUAAGGUUUUUUUUAAAUUAUUAUUACAGUAGUUUUCUUGUGCUGAUAUCCCUUUAAACAGUAAAGCAGCAAAGCUUUCCAAAAGGUUGCUCACUGUCCAAAGCAAAAAGCCUGGGCUGUGCAAUUUAUCCAGCGUUCAACUUAAAUGACCUCAGAGAUUCAUGGUCUGAGGGAGGAGGUGGGACUCAUUUCAUGCCAAACAUUUCUGGAGGCAUCUGCCAGCGUCAAGUACAGGGGCUUGGAACGAGCACCAUUUCCCGGCAUGGAAGCGGCCUCAGUGGGCACCGGAGUUUCUUGGAAGAAGGCUGCUUGGCUGAAAGGAGCCAAGAGUUUAGAUUGCUCUCUCUGUCUCAACCCUGCAAGGCAGAGGCCAGGAAUGGAUGCCUGCCACAUAACAACACUGGAGAAUCCAUCUUCAGAUUUCUACCAUUAAAUGCAUCCUGCGAUCCUCUGACUCUACGAGGCACCAAAUGCAGCCAAGUUUCGCAAUCUAACAAGCCCAGCCAUCUGCAGAUCCUAUUCGGGUUUGCAGAGGUUAGCAGGACCUCAGCUGGGUCUAUAUAAAGAUUUGACCUAAGAUGACUCAAGAUAGCAUCAGCCUUUCAAAACACUGGGUGUCAGUGUUCACUCUAGCAGGGAUUCCCAGAUGCUGUUGACUACAACUCCCAGCAUCCCCAGAUGUAAUGGCCUUUGGCUGGGGAUUAUGGGGAUUGUAGUCCACAAUGUCUGGGAAUCCCUGUUAGAGGGAACAAUGCUGGUUGUACAUACUACAAGGGAACCACACACACUAACACAGGUUUUCUUUGGAUCUAAGAGCCAGACAAGGGGACACUUGACAAGAUUAUUGAACUUAGUGACAGACAUUGUGGAAGACGGGGGUAAACUGGCUUCUCUUUAUCCUCUUUACAAGUAACAUACUUAGAACAGAAACAGGACUGCCUCAGAAAAACAAAAGCUUUAUUAAAUAACUCUACCUCUGAAUAUCCUAGUCUAGAUGCCAGGUGUGUUGCUUAUCAUACUUAAGAAAUCUGAACCACUUCUUUCUAUUGGUACCGCUUUUUUCUACUGACAAACUUUAUUUCACCUUUUAAAAAGCAAAACAGCAGCUUUUCAUGGGACACUAUUGCCAACAACCAAGUUCAGAGUCACAAAAUAUUAAGCAAAUGAGCCACAUCAUUUCCGGAGUAAUAAAAGUGAGGGGCAGUUUUUUAGUGUAUCCUUCAAUCCAAAUCAAAAAAUGAGCUUCAAAUUCAUGCCUUGUAUUGUACCCCAAGGAUAGGCCAUGAUGAAACAUCUCUACCCCGGAGCAGCAGCUUAGAAGGCAGGACUGUAGUACAGAUAAAUUACCCGGUUCUCUCCAGCUACCGUGGCCUGAAGCACUGUGUUCCCUGAGAUCAGGGAAAGUUAUGGCAUGCAAUUAUCUUAAUUAUAUAUACAAGUAAGAACACACCAAUUACCUAUAGCCCUCAUGGCUCAGGCUGGCCUUCCAACACUCGUUCUCAGUCGAGAACAAGAGGUCCACACCUAUCACAGAACAUAAUGGACACCCAUUCUACAUCAGGACAUAUUGGUGACUCAAGGGGCUCCAAUUAGACAGGCUUCUCUCACACUUCCAAGCACUCAUUUCUUUUCCACCUGAAAUAUAAACAUCUUAAAUAAUCCCUGGGUUUUAAACAACCUUAAAAAAUGGAGGCUGGCAUGCAAAAAGCAUGCUCAUGGUUGGGGACCACCGACACCAACAGCAAGUUCGGAUUUGGUCCCUGCCAGGAAAGAGCACAUCAGAAAUAUUGCCUCUACCCAUCUGUGCACAGCGACUGACAUAAAGCAGCAUGAUGUCCAAAGGUCUUUGCUGGUACUCAGUACACAGAAAUAAAUGUGAGCAAGGUAUUUGCAACAA